CGCCAGGCCUCCUCGCCCCAGUGCCCUCGUCGCUGCUAAGGAACUGGUCACCUGGGCGUCUGGCCCUCCUCCACUGGCAGCCUCAGCCACACCUACACAGGAUAUGGCACCAGAUACUUUCCUGAAAUUUCUGUUCAAAAAUGCAAGCGCAAGAUUGUGACAAAAAACAGUUCAGUUUGGUCUUCUCUUUAGGGCGAAGAAGGGAAAGGGAGUUCACGUACCUGUAAAAAACGAGAGGGGAAAAUGCCACUGGUACACUUGUUUAUUUUAGGCAGUUGGUGCACUUGAUCUGGAGUUCACUCGGUGAUCUCACUUAAAAGCACUAGCAGUCCGCUGUAGUUCACAUCGCUCUAGCACUUGUAGCUCCAUCUUCAGGUUUGCGAACUGUUGAUUUCUAGUUUUGGGCGAUGUAUUGCAAAAUUGCAGGGAUAA